GACGUAGGGUGCAAGCGUUGUCCGGAUUUACUGGGCGUAAAGAGCGCGUAGGCGGCUCGUUAAGUGAGAAGUGAAAGCUGUGGGCUCAACCCACAAACCGCUUUGCAUACUGGCGAGCUGGAGUGAUGCAGAGGUGGAUAGAAUUCCUGGUGUAGCGGUGAAAUGCGUUGAUAUCAGGAGGAAUACCCGUGGCGAAGGCGGUCCACUGGGCAUCAACUGACGCUGAGGCGCGAAAGCGUGGGUAGCAAACAGG
rnacentral:rRNA from 1 species